rnacentral:lncRNA from 1 species
AAUGGGGAAGUACAAGACCAUCCAGCAUACAAGUAUCAGACACGCGGAGCGUGUAACCAUGGAAGAAGCAGGCCAAGAUUCAAUGACCUUUAUUGAGCCACAUGCAAGGUUAGCUGAACAGCAUGAAUUCAAGUUUUACCAAAUUGUAUUUAAAAGUUGAUAUCUUCAUCAUCCUGUACCUGAGCCUGGGGUCUCUGAAGCAUCCUCAUGUACCUCAACUUGAACUAGAGGGCACCCACUAUUCCAUGUUUUGCCAUAUCUCUUUUCCACAUUCAGAUGGACACUGCCCAUUUACUGGGACUAGAGGAGAUGACCACCCAUUUUGAUCUCUGGAUAAAGAAGAGGAAGAAUGUAUUGAAUGAAAGCAAAAACAAGUUCAUUCACUGAACCUGAAGCUCCAUGAUUUUGCUAGAUUUAACUGGGGAGCAAUCACUAACAGAAUUCCGUGUCACUCUGAAUAGCACUCGAACUUCAGGCAUUGGAUUCCAGGCCUUGGACACAGUAGGAAUCUGCUGUAUCAAUGAAGGAUGUGUCCAGUCAUUGGCUUCCUGAGACAUAGUCUGAUUAUGUCAUUCAAACUACCCUACAUCUCAUGGUCUGUUUGCCUGUGACUUCCAAGUAAUAAGAUCACAGGUGUGCUCCUCAUAAGUGUUUUAAAAAGACACAUUUCAAACACUUGAAAAAAAGUUUUCACUGUUGUUAAGCAGAUGAAAAAAAUUGAAAUUAUAGAUCUUGUGAAAUGAUUCAUAAAUGCUUGAAAACUUGUGUUCUCGGAAAGUUUCAAGGCUCUUAAAAUCAUUUAGAAUUUGCAGAAAAAAGAAAAUGCUUUGGCAAUAGUCUUUCAAAAAGAGCAUACACAUACAUGUAAAAUGUCUCAAGGAAAAGAUGUACAGAAAAGAAAUGAAUAAAACAUGUACAACUUAUGACAGACCCAGUGUCUGGUCAGUAGUGUUUGAUAGAACACCUACUUCAAUGCCCAUCAAACAAAGAAAGCUUCCAUCCUGGUUGCUACCAUAUACCAUAUCUGCAUCCUCUGCAUUCAUCAGGAUGUCUGUCAAUGUGCCUCUCUUCCAAACCACCAAUGUGAAAAUAUGAAUUAAUAGAUAAACUUGAACCUCAGGGUUUAUAAUGAGUGGGCACAUACAUGUCAGCAGUGACAGCUCACUGUCUGCAGGCUCACCUCAUGCAGGAUUUAACACUAUUAAAGUUAUUUUUUCAAGAAGUGUGUGAUGCAUAAAAUGUAAAUAAAUCAUAAACAUUUAAAAAUUAUAAUUUUAUGGUCAUUUUUCUGUUAUUCCCUUACUUUAUAGCCUGCAUGCUCCACUUCAGUAGAAAUACAUGACAUCUUUUCUUCAUUGUUAGGGGUGAUACCCAGGGCUUUGCAUAAUACAGAACUAUUCUACCACCAAAAUACACCUUUAUUCCUGAAUGCAUUUUUAAUAUGAUUUAAAUUUUUUAUUUUCUUGCAACUUUUAUUCUAUCAAGUCCCUUUAUCCUUACAUAUGAAUGAACCUUGUAAAUAGAACUCAGAUGUAUAACACCUAAGUUUUAAAAUAGCAUAAGAGCAACUAAUUUAAUUUAAUUUUAACAGUAUUUUACUAUUUAUUCAUUGGAUUAAUUAUUAUGAAUCAAAUAACUGUAGGUUGCUACUAUAAGUUAAAUAUCCCUCAAAAUGCUUCUUUUUUAGUAUAGGCACAAAAAUUACAUUAGCAGCUAUAUAGUCCAAACAGAUUCUGAAUUCUGUGAACAAAUGUGUUUAUUUUAUAUGUAUUUGAUAAUAACAAUGUAAUUUUCUAUUACUAUUAUCACAUGACCAAUAUUGUGUCAAAUAUAAUAAACCUUAAAACUCCAUCUCAAUAAAUAGAAAUAUGUAUUUAUAGUUUAACCAUUACUUCAUCUUAUUAAAAAUUAUUUAGGGAAGUAUUUGUGUGUAUCUCAAAAUAUAAACAAAAUGAUUGUGGCAAAUUAUUGAUUUCUUAGAAUUUGAUAGACAGCUUUAUAAAAUUUAUAUGACAACUGAGUGAUAUAAUUGUAAUGCUGUGUAAGUCACAGCAAAGACUAAAAGGUAUUUAAAUAAAUGACAAUCAACACCAUUGUCUCUUUGAAUGCUAUAUACAUAUGCAUGUGUAUGUAUGAAAACUAUAUAUAGUAUGAAGUAAUACUUAGAAAGCUUGAUGCUAAUAAAAACUGCAAUCCUUGAACACCUAUUUUUCUCUAUGAACUUGCAUUGGAUCAGCAAAAACACACAGGAAUUGUUAUUGCUCUUGUUUAAAAGGUACCAAGAAUAAAGUAUAAAAAUG